GCCUAGACAAUUGAUCUUAGAACAAUUGAGAUAUUACUCUUCUAACUGAGCACCUGGAGAAAACCCACGACUUUCGGUAGAGUGUUGACAGAAUGACAGACUCUUUUCACAUGAGUCCGUGAAAGGCGCUUGCUAUGACGCCUGCGCCACCGCAGCCCGAAUAUUACUAGCAUUGUUUAAAAAAAAAACUGAUAAAAAUUAAGACGCUCUUGAUAAAUAUUUUCCACCUCCC